AUUGAACGCUGGCGGCAGGCCUAACACAUGCAAGUCGAACGAGUGGCGGACGGGUGAGUAAUGUCUGGGAAACUGCCUGAUGGAGGGGGAUAACUACUGGAAACGUUCGCUAAUACCGCAUACCAUCGGAUGUGCCCAUAUGGGAUUCGCUAGUAGGUGGGGUAAAGGCUCCCCUAGGCGACGCUCCCUAGCUGGUCUGAGAGGAUGACCAGCCACACUGUAACUGAGACACGGUCCAGACUCCUACGGGAGGCAGCAGUGGGGAAUAUUGCACAAUGGGCGCAAGCCUGAUGCAGCCAUGCCGCGUGUAUGAAGAAGGCCUUCGGGUUGUAAAGUACUUUCAGCGGGGAGGCGUUACCCGCAGAAGAAGCACCGGCUAACUCCGUGCCAGCAGCCGCGGUAAUUC
rnacentral:rRNA from 1 species